CACGAACCCGACGAACGUUAUUCGGAAUUAUUGGGCUUAAAGGGUGCGUAGGCGGUGCGGUAAGUGAGGUGUGAAAUCCCUCGGCUCAACCGAGGAAUUGCGCUUCAUACUGCCGUGCUGGAGGGAGACAGGGGUAAGCGGAACUGAUGGUGGAGCGGUGAAAUGCGUUGAUAUCAUCAGGAACACCGGUGGCGAAAGCGGCUUACUGGGUCUUCUCUGACGCUGAGGCACGAAAGCUAGGGUAGCGAACGGG
rnacentral:rRNA from 1 species